UACGGAGGGUGCGAGCGUUGUCCGGAAUCACUGGGCUUAAAGCGCGUGUAGGCGGGAAGGUACGUCCGUCGCUGAAAUCCCCCGGCUCAACCGGGGAACGGGCGCGGAUACGGCCAUCCUGGAGGGGCGUAGGGGGACCUGGAACUUCCGGUGGAGCGGUGAAAUGCGUUGAGAUCGGAAGGAACGCCCGUGGCGAAAGCGAGGUCCUGGACGCCUACUGACGCUGAGGCGCGAAAGCUAGGGGAGCAAACGGG
rnacentral:rRNA from 1 species